rnacentral:ncRNA from 1 species
AAAGUUUUAUUCUUGCUUAUAAGUUUAYUCUUCGAGUAUUUUACAUGUAAAUUUGUGUGGGGUAUAGUGUAUAUCUAAAAGGUAUUGUUGUUAUUCGCAGUAUUUGGGUUUAUAGAUCAAGGAAGUUUGGAAUUAGUGACUCGGUAUAAGGUCGGCUAAAGUCGUGCCAGCUGCCGCGGUUAUACGUAGGACAGAAGUAAAUUAUAUUAGUUAAAAAGUUAAUGGUGAAGAUAAGGGGCUGGUUGAUUUUAUAGGUAAAAUUUGUUAAAUUGGUUAUUUCUUAUAGUAUUUAAUUGAAGCUUUGAGAAUUAAAGUUGAAACUAGGAUUAGAUACCCUAUUAUUUUAAUUGUGAAAAAUGUAGACUUGAGUAGUAUUAGUUAAGUUCUUGAAACUCAAAGAAUUUGGCGGUGUCUUAGUCUUUCCAGAGGAAUCUGUCCUGUAAUCGAUAUUACACGUUAAAUGUUACUUAAUUUGGUAUAAUCAAUUUGUAUACCGCUGUCAUAAGAUCAUCUUUUUAGAGAAAGAAUUUUCUUGAUAUUAUAAGAUAAUAUGUCAGGUCAAGGUGCAGUUUAUAAUUAAGAGGGAGAUGGAUUACAAUAAGAUUAUUUAUAUGGAGUUUUUGUUGCAAUGCAGGGAUGAAGGUGGAUUUGGAGGUAAUUUGAUUAGAUUAUGAUUGAAUGAUUUAAGCUCUAGGACAUGUACACAUCGCCCGUCGCUCUCGUUAUUAAGAUGAGAUAAGUCGUAACAUAGUAGUUGUACUGGAAAGUGUGGCUAGGAAGU